UGAUCCUGGCUCAGGAUGAACGCUGGCGGUGUGCCUUAUACAUGCAUGUCGAACGAGGCGUAGCAAUACGUCUAGUGGCAAAUGGGUGAGUAAUAAAUAGGUAACCAACCCUUAAGACGGGGAUACCCCAUCGAAAGAUGGAAUAAUACCCGAUAAUGUCCCUUCCGGUGCGCUGGAGGGGAAGAAAGAUGGCGCAAGCUAUCACUUUUGGACGGGCUUAUUUCCUAUCAGCUAGUUGGUGAGGUAACGGCUUACCAAGGCUACGACGGGUAGCUGGUCUGAGAGGACGGUCAGCCACAUUGGGACUGCGACACGGCCCAGACUCCUACGGGAGGCAGCAGUCGGGAAUAUUCGGCCAAUGCGCGAAAGCGUGACCGAGCGACACCGCGUGGGCGACGAAGAUCUUAGGAUUGUAAAGCCCUUUUGCCAGGGAAGAAUACGCUGGAGACAAUAUCAAUAGCGUUUGACGGUACCUGGCGAAUAAGCCGCAGCAAACUACGUGCCAGCAGCUGCGGUAAUACGUAGGCGGCGAGCGUUAUCCGGAAUUACUGGGUGUAAAGGGUCCGCAGGCGUCUUGUUAAGUUAAGAGUUAAAUCUCAAAGCCCAACUUUGAGGCUGCUCCUAAGACUGGCAAGAUAGAGUGUAGAAGACGGAAGUGGAAUUCCUGGUGGAGAGGUAAAAUCCGUAGAUAUCAGGAGGAACACCUGUGGUGAAGACGGCUUCCGAGUCUAUAACUGACGCUCAUGGACGAAAGCUAGGGGAGCAAACAGGAUUAGAUACCCUGGUAGUCCUAGCCCUAAACGAUGAAUACUUGGUAAUAGGGAGUACAUACUCUUUAUCGCCGAAGCUAACGCAUUAAGUAUUCCACCUGGGGACUACGGCCGCAAGGUUGAAACUCAAAGGAAUUGACGGGGGCCCGCACAAGCAGCGAGGCAUGUGGUUUAAUUCGAUGCUACACGAAGAACCUUACCUGGGCUUGACAUGUAGUGGAAAGCAGUAUGAAAGUACUGCCCUUGUUGUAGCAAUACAACAACCGCUAUGCAGGUGGUGCAUGGUUGUCGUCAGCUCGUGUCGUGAGAUGUAAGGUUAAGUCCUUAAACGAGCGCAACCCCUGCCACUAGUUGCCACCGGUUCGGCCGGGCACUCUAGUGGGACCGCUAGUGAUAAACUAGAGGAAGGUGGGGAUGACGUCAAAUCAUCAUGCCCCUUAUGUCCAGGGCUACACA
rnacentral:rRNA from 1 species